UACGUAGGAAGCGAGCGUUGUCCGGAAUCACUGGGCGUAAAGCGCGUGUAGGCGGUACGGCAAGUCUGCUGUGAAAUCCCGAGGCUCAACCUCGGGUCUGCAGUCGAUACGAGCAAACUAGAGUGUUGCAGGGGAGACUGGAAUUCCUGGUGUAGCGGUGAAAUGCGCAGAUAUCAGGAGGAACACCGGUGGCGAAGGCGGGUCUCUGGGCAACAACUGACGCUGAGGAGCGAAAGCGUGGGGAGCGAACAGG
rnacentral:rRNA from 1 species